UGGGGGAUAUUGCACAAUGGGCGAAAGCCUGAUGCAGCGACGCCGCGUGGGGGAUGAAGGCUUUCGGGUUGUAAACCUCUUUCGCUAACGAACAAGGCCCGCUUAGGGUGGGUUGAGGGUAGGUGGAGAAGAAGCGCCGGCUAACUACGUGCCAGCAGCCGCGGUAAUACGUAGGGCGCGAGCGUUGUCCGGAAUUAUUGGGCGUAAAGGGCUUGUAGGCGGCUUGUUGCGCCUGCUGUGAAAACGCGGGGCUUAACUUCGCGCGUGCAGUGGGUACGGGCAGGCUUGAGUGUGGUAGGGGUGACUGGAAUUCCAGGUGUAGCGGUGGAAUGCGCAGAUAUCUGGAGGAACACCGAUGGCGAAGGCAGGUCACUGGGCCAUUACUGACGCUGAGGAGCGAAAGCAUGGGUAGCGAACAGG
rnacentral:rRNA from 2 species